AUCACCUGGGGAUCAUGUUAAAUUUUAGAUUCUCCUGGUCUGAGGUGGGACCUGAGAGUCUGCAUUUCUAACAAGUGCCCAGGUGAUGC
rnacentral:miRNA from 1 species